AUGGAGGAAAAUGACUCCAUCCUUGGGUUUUCAAAUAAAAAAACAAACGAAGAUGACUUUGUAGCUCAAAAUCUGUUGAGAGCUUAUCGAAUUGAUGAUUCACCAGAAGAAAUUAUUGUGUUCCCCCAUAAGGUAACUCAUUCCUCUUUUUCUGCUCUCCUUUCCCUACUAUUGAGUGUGCUUUCUAGUUUGGUAAUAUUUCUGUUUCAAAUGCUAUGAUUCCUUUGGUUGAUUUAAAACUUGCUCAGAGUUGAUGAACAAAGAAACACAUAAUUUUGAUAAAAUUAUUAACCCUUCUUUUUGGUGAGAAAUAGAGGGAAAAAAAAAUUCUGAUAAACGAAUCGGGAGAUCUUUUUGCUCUUUUCAGAGGUUUGAAAUUUUGUAUCGUUGGUUUCUCAGUGUUGAUUCUCAUUUUCUCUCUGGUUUUGUAUGAGUCUCGUGCAUUAAUUUAAUCAUAUUUCACUUUUCGGCCCCUGAAAAAUCAAGGAGACGCUGACAAGCGAUGUUGGACAAAACUCAAUCGAGCACAGCAGGCUGUUGCUGGGAGCAUAUUUGGUUAA
rnacentral:lncRNA from 1 species